UACGGGGGGGGCAAGCGUUGUUCGGAAUUACUGGGCGUAAAGGGCUCGUAGGUGGCUCGCUAAGUCAGACGUGAAAUCCCCCGGCUUAACCUGGGAACUGCGUCUGAUACUGGAAGGCUUGAGUGCGGGAGAGGGAUGUGGAAUUCCAGGUGUAGCGGUGAAAUGCGUAGAUAUCUGGAGGAACACCGGUGGCGAAGGCGGCAUCCUGGACCGACACUGACGCUGAGGCGCGAAAGCUAGGGUAGCAAACGGG
rnacentral:rRNA from 1 species